CGGGAGUGCAAGGUGUAGGCGUGAAGAAAACAAAUUAACUCUGAUCUUUCUGGGUAUAUUUAUUACAAAGAGUUAAACUGCUGUCGCUGUCGCCAGUUUCCAAAGUUUCCAACGCCGUAGCGGUAAUGCCUCUCCUUAAAGUUAGAUCAGACAUUCUUAGUCCAGGGCUAACGUCGGAGGAAGAAUACCAAGCGCUGGAAGGAACACUUAAGAUGCAGUGAACAGUCCUCUCUAGGAGGAGGAGGAGAUGAUGGAGAGCCGACAAGAUAUUUGGGGGUUCUGUCGCGAUGAACCCUACCACACACAAGCGGGCACGCACACACGCACGCUCGCUUGCGUGUGUACACACACUCACACACACGCUCACAUUCCCAGUGUUUCUCCUGGACGGCCGCUAGAGGGAGGGCCGUUGGUGGGGUCACGGAGAUGAAACAAAUAUGGAGCCUGAUCUCUGGCGGAGUUUGUGUUUGUCACUUUUAAAAGGCUUCGAGCGCUUGCGAUCCAGGGGAAUCUACCUUACUUAGGUUGGAACUGCACAAAAAGGAGAAAAUAUAAGUGUUAUCUGCCCUUCACAACCACAGGUUCCUUUGGUUUGGGGACUCUCCAUUCUGUUACCCCUUCUUCAGUACUCUGGACACUGCAAGCAUCGAGGUGCCCAGAACAGAGCCAGGACACUUAACAAGUGCCUUUAGGUGUUAGUUUCUUUUCCCUGAAGGGAAAUUUAGGAAAGGGCAGCAGAAAUGUGAAUCUUGUUUUCUGAAUUAUUUUCCCACCUUUGUUUAAUCAUUAUUCUAUACUUUAAAAAAUAUAGCUGAUAUAUACUGUUCUGGCAAAAAUGUAAAACUCAGUUGGAAAUAGAAUCGAUCAUAUUACACUGGAUAAAGAAACAAAAUCCUCUUUUCACUAUAUUUCUGAGUUUGAAUUUAAUUUCUUACCGCCAACCUGGAAAUAGUACAAAAACCUUAGAAAAUACUACUUACAGUAACAUAUUACUUUAAGAAAUACUGCUUUCUCCUACAAAGGCUCUUUAAUUCCUCAUGGAUAUUCAAGCAUGAAAACCACCUAAGAAAAACAGUCAGGGUGUCUUGAACAGGUCGAAUAGUUUCAUCUCGUGACUGAAUUAGGAAGUAGGCAUGUGAGGGUUAAGCGUAGAUUUGAGUUGGAUUCUCGAUUGGAAUUUCAAGAUUGAAAAAUCUAAUCCCGCUCAUGUAAAAGGCGUCUCGGUGGAUUUCAACUAACUUUGAGAAAUGAGUCACAAUGAUGACUCAAACCAGAGCGAAAGAAAAAAGUGAUUUCCCUGAAAACCAGGUGUUGAGCGCCUUCGUGACCCAAUACCGGGUGCGCGCGCGCAGAGCCGCCAGACCCCUCUCCACAUGGCUCUGGCUCCGUUAAAUUCCGCGAGCGCACCCAUGACAGAAAUGCCACCGGUAAACUGUUUCCGAAGAUGGGCUCGGGAGGGUUGACACUCCGCAGUGCCACCAGCGCUGUGUUCUCCCCAAGUCAGCCGCUUUCGACCACGCGAGCAGCAGAUCGCCCUCUGCGCGCUACAACCCGCGGGGCGGGGAGCCCUGGCGCUCACCCCGCGAGCUCAGCUGGUGCUGACGUCGGUUCAGGCCCUUAAACGUGUCUGUCCCUGCGCAGGAGGGAACGGACUUUGUAGCAGUCACUUUGCCCGAAGGGAGUCGCGUCUCUGCUUUUGUAGGAGGCAGCUCAGGCUUCCCUCGCUCUUUCUGGAUCUGCGUUUGUCUCUGUCCUCUUUGCACGGAGUCCUCGCCAGCCCCUCCAGGAGGCGCCUUUGGUGUCCGCACCCCAGGCGUGAACCAACAGGGCUUCCCAUGCCCUGUGCUUAUCCACAGGACUCGAAGACCAGAAAUUACGAGGCGCGCUCAGGGAUCGCUCAAGGAGCAGGGAGCUUUCUCUCUCUGAUUUCGGUGGGGGGUGGGGGGCGUGAUUUUUCUCAGAGCUGGUGAAAGCAUCCUUUCCGCCCCUACACCUGCAACUUGUUUGGGUUUCUUCUCAGUCCUGUGUGUGCGGUUCCAACAUCAAAGUUUUUCCUCCCUUACCCGAAAAAUCUAUCUGUUUAAUCCAUCCUCCUCCCCCGGCGCUGUCUCCGCCGGGCCUCCGCGCUGCGCGGUGGCUAGCGGAUAGCGAGGCUCGCAGUGUGGCGGCAGCGGCGGCUGCGAUUAGAGCGAUCAGGCGGAGCACAAGAGAAGGAGCUGCUGCCCGGGGCUUCCUGAGUAACCCUUUGCCGGGCGAAAGAGCUGGGGAAGGGCGCAGAAGAGGAGCUGGAAUCUUCCGGGACGCUGGUGCCAGAAAACUGGAUUUUAAUCACCUUCCUGGUUGUGCGUCUCUGUCCCUUUUUCUCAUUUGGUAACUAGUCGAGAGAAGCGCUUGGCACGAGCGCUCUGCGGGACCCAAGCUCCCGGCUGCUCGGGAACCGUGUGUCCGCUGCUGCGGAAGGAGCAGAGGGGAGAACGCCAAACGGAUGCUCACUGGAGCCUAGAGGUGGAAACUGAUGUUUCUAUUGAUGCAGUGCCUCACUUGGUGUUGGACGUUUCUAUUGAUGCAGUGCCUCACUUGGUGUUGGACGGCAGGGGAAAGAAUUUGAAAUCAGCUCUAUGCCAUGAGGGACUGUAGUGCCAG
ensembl:lncRNA